rnacentral:misc_RNA from 1 species
GAUGUAAUAUAUAUAAUAAAAGUUAUAUUAAUAUUAGCACGUAAGUCGUUAGAGAGGCGAAGCGGGCUCCCGGGCCGAGACUGGACUUGCAAGCAGUUGACAAAGAGAAAUCGGCGCCUUGAAGUGAUGAGCCCUCGAGAGGAAAACAUGUUAAUUAGUGAUGAGUCGCCCGCGCCGGAGCCGCUCCCGCCGUAGCGAGGAAACUCUGCGGCGUGUUGGACAGGCUACGUAACCAUUGCAUAUUAUUGUCAUUAUUA